ensembl:lncRNA
CGGCCCUGCCCUGCCUGCCUUCUGCCCUCGUGCCUGCCGCCCUUCCCGAAGUGAGGAAACGAAGUUGGGAUCCUUCUCAAGCCUCUUUAUUGCCCAUCCGACUUCGGAUCGACUGUAGCACGCGGGAGCCUUUGACUCGUUUCAGCAUGGCUGUGUCAUCGUGCAGUUCGUCCACCGAAAGCGUGCCCGGUGCGCUUUGCACAAGUGGUGCGGUCCGUUAGAGGCAAAAAACGUGCUGAAGGGCAUAUCACCAUCUCUACUUGUAAGACUCACCAGUAUUUUCUGAGGAGAUCAAUAUCUAAUCCUUGAAAAGGGAGGGACAGUGCUACCUGCCAUCUGUCAGCCUGCCAGAAAUUCUUGUGCCUAUCAGAGCAAGAGCUAAGGAUGUGACAUCUUUCUCCAUCAUCUUCUCAGAAUAUCCCUGAUUCAACGCAGGAGGCAUCAAAAUAGAUCAUCAGUGAUGCGUAUCUGACGCACAGAUGUUUCAGCUUGGAUUGUUAGCUAUCCAGCAAUCUGACAGAAUCCUGAUGCUGAUCAUUCACAGAUGUUGCAAAUAGAAAGAAAUUGCUUCAUCCACUGCAAACAAAUUUAUUCCUUUUACUCUUGG